GGACGUGUGCCUGAAUUGACCUAAGGAUUACUUUGAUAGAGUAGACAAUAGAGGUUAAAAUCCUCUCACUUCC
rnacentral:tRNA from 1 species